rnacentral:rRNA from 1 species
GACGAACGCUGGCGGCGUGCUUAACACAUGCAAGUCGAACGGUAAGGCCCUUCGGGGUACACGAGUGGCGAACGGGUGAGUAACACGUGGGUGAUCUGCCCUGCACUUCGGGAUAAGCCUGGGCAACUGGGUCUAAUACCGGAUAGGACCACUGCCUGCAUGGGUGGUGGUGGAAAGCUUUUGCGGUGUGGGAUGGGCCCGCGGCCGAUCAGCUUGUUGGUGGGGUGAUGGCCUACCAAGGCGACGACGGGUAGCCGGCCGGAGAGGGUGACCGGCCACACUGGGACUGAGAUACGGCCCAGACUCCUACGGGAGGCAGCAGUGGGGAAUAUUGCACAAUGGGCGCAAGCCUGAUGCAGCGACGCCGCGUGAGGGAUGACGGCCUUCGGGUUGUAAACCUCUUUCAGCACCGACGAAGCGCAAGUGACGGUAGGUGCAGAAGAAGGACCGGCCAACUACGUGCCAGCAGCCGCAGUAA